AGACGACGCUGGCGGCGUGCUUAACACAUGCAAGUCGAACGGUAAGGCCCUUCGGGGUACACGAGUGGCGAACGGGUGAGUAACACGUGGGUGAUCUGCCCUGCACUUCGGGAUAAGCCUGGGAAACUGGGUCUAAUACCGGAUAGGACUCCUGGCUUCAUGGUUGGGGGUGUAAAGCUUUUGCGGUGUGGGAUGGGCCCGCGGCCUAUCAGCUUGUUGUAGGGUAAUGGCCUACCAAGGCGACGACGGGUAGCCGGCCUGAGAGGGUGACCGGCCACACUGGGACUGAGAUACGGCCCAGACUCCUACGGGAGGCAGCAGUGGGGAAUAUUGCACAAUGGGCGCAAGCCUGAUGCAGCGACGCCGCGUGAGGGAUGACGGCCUUCGGGUUGUAAACCUCUUUCAAUAGGGACGAAGCGCAAGUGACGGUACCUAUAGAAGAAGGACCGGCCAACUACGUG
rnacentral:rRNA from 1 species